rnacentral:rRNA from 1 species
UACGUAGGCGGCCAUAUAAGUCAGAAGUGAAAGGCUACGGCUUAACCGUAGUAAGCUUUUGAAACUGUAUGGCUUGAGUGCAGGAGAGGAAAGCGGAAUUCCUAGUGUAGCGGUGAAAUGCGUAGAUAUUAGGAAGAACACCAGUAGCGAAGGCGGCUUUCUGGACUGAAACUGACGCUGAGGUACGAAAGCGUGGGGAGCGAACAGGAUUAGAUACCCUGGUAGUC